rnacentral:rRNA from 1 species
AGUGAACGCUGGCGGUAGGCCUAACACAUGCAAGUCGAACGGCAGCACAGUAAGAGCUUGCUCUUACGGGUGGCGAGUGGCGGACGGGUGAGGAAUACAUCGGAAUCUACUUUUUCGUGGGGGAUAACGUAGGGAAACUUACGCUAAUACCGCAUACGACCUACGGGUGAAAGCAGGGGAUCUUCGGACCUUGCGCGAUUGAAUGGGCCGAUGUCGGAUUAGCUAGUUGGCGGGGUAAAGGCCCACCAAGGCGACGAUCCGUAGCUGGUCUGAGAGGAUGAUCAGCCACACUGGAACUGAGACACGGUCCAGACUCCUACGGGAGGCAGCAGUGGGGAAUAUUGGACAAUGGGCGCAAGCCUGAUCCAGCCAUACCGCGUGGGUGAAGAAGGCCUUCGGGUUGUAAAGCCCUUUUGUUGGGAAAGAAAAGCAGCAGGUUAAUACCCCGCUGUUCUGACGGUACACAAAGAAUAAGCACCGGCUAACUUCGUG